rnacentral:tRNA from 1 species
CCGUCAUUAGCCAAGUGGUAUGGUGUCUGGUUUGGGACCAGAAAAUCGUAGGUUCGAUCCCUACAUGACGGA